UACGGAGGGGGCCAGCGUUGUUCGGAAUCAUUGGGCGUAAAGGGCGCGUAGGCGGCUACGCAAGUCGGAUGUGAAAUCCCUCGGCUCAACCGAGGAACUGCAUCCGAAACUGCGAGGCUCGAGUCCUGGAGAGGGUAGUGGAAUUCCCAGUGUAGCGGUGAAAUGCGUAGAUACUGGGAGGAACACCGGUGGCGAAGGCGGCUACCUGGACAGGUACUGACGCUGAGGCGCGAAAGCCAGGGGAGCAAACAGG
rnacentral:rRNA from 1 species